AAGGAGCUUUAAACACUCCCAAACCCUUUGUUAAAUAUAUCUAUAUGUUGCUUCGGCAGGCGGCCCCAGGGCGGGGCUGUAACCUUUAUAGGUGCCUGUCGGGGGUAUUAAACCCGUCAGUUUAUAGUGUCUGAGCCUGUAAAACAAAUGAAUCA
rnacentral:misc_RNA from 1 species